GCAAUCUUCUUAGUUUUUUCUAAACUAAUUUAGGUAGUAAGAACAUUUCAUACAUUUAGAAAAUUCAAAAUCAUAAAUCAAAAACUUCAAAAAUAUGCAUAAAAACAUCAAAGAAUAUAUUCGGAACGGAACGUAUUACUCUAUUAUCUAUGCCUUAUCAGCUUGUCAAUUGUCAAUAAUGUCAUUAAUUAAUGUCAAUAUUGUCAAACAUGUGCAAGUCUCAUAAGAAUUUUAUUUUGCAAAUAACAAUUUAUUUAAGAAACUUCUGAGCUUAUUUAAACCUUUUUAAAUAUAAGUUGAUCUGUAUAGAAGUUUUAUAAAUAAAGUUUCUUUAACCUUGAGUUUAAAUGUGCAAUAUCUUCAGCUAUUAAUGUUCCCAAAGUUAUAUUUUGUUCCUAAAUUUUAUCUUGUGUUUUACCCAUGUAUAAUAGUGUUUUUUUAUUAAAUAAAGGAAACUUUUAGUGAAGUUAAUUGUUGGUAACAGUAAGCAAUAUUUUCUUUUACAAGAAAAUACAAUUAAUAUCUCUUUACUAUGAUUCUCGGCAAAUAAUACUCAAUACCUAGAAGAUACCUAUUAAAUAGAUGUAAUAUGUAAUGUAAUAUAGUCCAAAAUUAUUAUUGUUUUUCAACCAAAAUAACUAAAGUAUUUGAAUAAAAUAUGACUGAUAUGUAUCUACCUGAAUUUUGAUUCCUUUUUAAUGGAAAACACUUAACCAAGUGGGAAGUACAUUUUUUGGCUAAUUCUUUUGUACACAACCUUUGCACUAAACUAAGAUGAAAGUUCUAAAUAUAUUGCUACCCAUCCCUUUCUUAUUGUUCCCUAUACGGGAAAGAAUAGCACUGAAUUUAGACCUUUUUAGUAUAGCGAUUGUGUAUAAUAGAAUUAGCUGCAUUAUAUAUUUAAAAAAGGCUUGCAAUAAUCCUUGUUCAAUUAAAUAUAUAAACAAUUACUCAUUUGUUUUAUUUACCUGCCUGCCUUUACACAGUUCUACGUACUGAUAGUUUAUUAGUGUAUCUAGUGUAUGUGUAGACUUGAAAAUCUGUCUAAAAAUAUUAUUAUUUUCAGGUAUUUUUAUUAACACAAGGGGCAAUUCAAAAUUGUUUAUUUAUCAAAACCAUACAUUCAGAUUCAUGUACAAAAAGGCAUAUGGGAGUCAACUAUGGUAUUGUUGGUACUUCUUCAGCCGUUCCUGUCCUGCAAAGCUGAGGAUUAACAAUGCUGGUAAAGUUACAGAAUGUAUCGGAAGACAUAACCACGACCCCCCUACGUGUUGGAUGACUCCAGAUGGAAAGUCUUACAGCUUGCCACCUCUUCCAGAAAGACCUGCUUAAUAUAAGCAAGCAUUUCAGUAGGUUUACAUAAUUCCAAUAGCAUUCCAUUCCAGUUAUCCAAUCCAGUCUUGGAUUGCUUCUGGAAUAAUGUGAACAGUUUGUUGAUUCUACUACAGUGUACCAAAUCCAGUCCAAUAUCAGAAUAAAAUAAAUUAUAGGAUUAUGAUAGAUAUGGUCCAAAUCAAUUUUAGAUGACCCUAAAUUUUACCUUUCAUUCUUUUUACUAUGUUCCCUGUAGGAAAGGAUACUGCUACAUUUUAAUUUUGAGAUAUACGUAUAUGUAACUGAAUAGGCAGUAAUGCUUACCGCUCAAAUCUUGGAAGUGCUGGAAUGUACUUACUGGAUUGGAAUUUGGAAAAUUGAAACUGGGCAUUAAAAUUGUUUUUCCUGCAUAUGAAAAAACUCUACAUAAGUACAUAUGUUAUUUACUGAUGCGAAAUGAACAUUUAAAACUAUGUUAAGCUAUGAAAUUCCUGUUAGAUUUAUAUAAGUCAUAAUGACUCAAAUUUUCGUCGGCAUUUCACUAACAUUAAAUUUGUAGUUCAUAUAUUAAUUAAGUAUAUUAUUGUUGCUUACUGUAUGUUGUAGUGUUGUACAUAUCUAAUUGUAUCAGUCUAAAUAUGUGAACGUCAGUAAGUUAUGCACUUGCAUUUUUAAAUAUUAUUCUUGCUAUUGUGUUUUAUAAACACUUAAGCCUGAAACACACAAAGCGCGACCGAAGAUGCACGGCAGUAUCACACUGACUGCGCGCGUAAGUGUGUUCCAUUUUCUGGAACUAGGUAUACGAAGUACGGCUGCAAUAUUAUCUAGAAAGCGCGGUUCAAACAUGCACUUCUCUAAAUGCAGUACAGUUAUUACAGUUAUAUUACCACUUGCCAUGUAAGACAUGUUUCUGUCGCGCGUUGUAUGUAACAGCCGUUUAAUCAGUAUUGAUCGUCAGAUUAAAUCACUAACUUGCACCUUAAUGAACUGGCACAUAGCCUGCUAACAGUGGAUCGGAUAAAGCAUCUGAAGCGGGCAAA